rnacentral:lncRNA from 1 species
GAUGAUGUUCGAGGGAAUGAUACUGUUGAUUAUGCUGAACGCCUGGUCGGGAGUGCUGUGAAUGCUCCGAAUCCGACACUUGUUGCCAAACCUGCCUCUACAUUGAAAACUUAUCUCUCUGUUGGCCAAAGUGGCAAUGCAAAAGAAGACUGUGAUGAGAUGAUGAGGCUCAUCAAGAGAAGUGAGUACAACGUGGUAG